rnacentral:rRNA from 1 species
GACGAACGCUGGCGGCGUGCUUAACACAUGCAAGUCGAACGGAAAGGCCCUGCUUUUGUGGGGUGCUCGAGUGGCGAACGGGUGAGUAACACGUGAGUAACCUGCCCUUGUCUUUGGGAUAACUUCAGGAAACUGGGGCUAAUACCGGAUAGGAGCUCCUGCUGCGUGUUGGGCGUUGGAAAGUUUCGGCGGUUGGGGAUGGACUCGCUGGUUACCAGCUUGUUGGUGGAGUAGGUACGUACAAAGGCUAUGACGGGUAGCCGGCCUGGGAGAUUGACCGGCCACAUUGGGACUACGAGACGGAGCAGAAUGCUACGGGACGCAACGGGCGAGAGUAUUGCGGAGUGGGCGCGCGCGUGAUGCGGCGACGCCGCGUGCGGGAUGCCGUCUUACGGGUUGUGAACCGCUUUCGCAGGUAACGAGGCGUGCGUGACGGUACUGGGUCAAGAAGCACCGGCUAACUACGUG